rnacentral:rRNA from 1 species
GACGAACGCUGGCGGCGUGCUUAACACAUGCAAGUCGUACGGAAAGGCCCUGCUUUUGUGGGGUGCUCGAGUGGCGAACGGGUGAGUAACACGUGAGUAACCUGCCCUUGACUUUGGGAUAACUUCAGGAAACUGGGGCUAAUACCGGAUAGGAGCUCCUGCUGCAUGGUGGGGGUUGGAAAGUUUCGGCGGUUGGGGAUGGACUCGCGGCGUAUCAGCUUGUUGGUGGGGUAGUGGCUUACCAAGGCUUUGACGGGUAGCCGGCCUGAGAGGGUGACCGGCCACAUUGGGACUGAGAUACGGCCCAGACUCCUACGGGAGGCAGCAGUGGGGAAUAUUGCACAAUGGGCGGAAGCCUGAUGCAGCAACGCCGCGUGCGGGAUGACGGCCUUCGGGUUGUAAACCGCUUUCGCCUGUGACGAAGCGUGAGUGACGGUAAUGGGUAAAGAAGCACCGGCUAACUACGUG